GCUCCUAUAGAACAACUUAGAUAAUUCGCUAGACUUAGGCUCUAGAGAUUCUUGGUGCAAAUCCAAGUAGUAGCU
rnacentral:tRNA from 1 species